rnacentral:rRNA from 1 species
GGGAGGCAGCAGUGGGGAAUAUUGCACAAUGGGGGAAACCCUGAUGCAGCCAUGCCGCGUGUGUGAAGAAGGCCUUCGGGUUGUAAAGCACUUUCAGUAGGGAGGAAGGUAGUGUAGUUAACACCUGCAUUAUUUGACGUUACCUACAGAAGAAGCACCGGCUAACUCCGUGCCAGCAGCCGCGGUAAUACGGAGGGUGCGAGCGUUAAUCGGAAUUACUGGGCGUAAAGCGCAUGCAGGCGGCCUGUUAAGUCAGAUGUGAAAGCCCGGGGCUUAACCUCGGAAUUGCAUUUGAAACUGGCAGGCUAGAGUCUUGUAGAGGGGGUAGAAUUUCAGGUGUAGCGGUGAAAAUGCGUAGAGAUCUGAAGGAAUACCAGUGGCGAAGGCGGCCCCCUGGACAAAGACUGACGCUCAGAUGCGAAAGCGUGGGGAGCAAACAGGAUUAGAUACCCUGGUAG